UAAUGUAUGGGGAUCUGCCCGAUAGAGGGGGAUAACUACUGGAAACGGUGGCUAAUACCGCAUAAUGUCUACGGACCAAAGCAGGGGCUCUUCGGACCUUGCACUAUCGGAUGAACCCAUAUGGGAUUAGCUAGUAGGUGGGGUAAAGGCUCACCUAGGCGACGAUCUCUAGCUGGUCUGAGAGGAUGAUCAGCCACACUGGGACUGAGACACGGUCCAG
rnacentral:rRNA from 1 species